AAAAAGACAAAAAGACAAUCAUAGAAACCUCACCAGAUUUUCCACUGUUUCUUUACUCGACUCGAUGAGGCCUUGAAACGCAGCCGGCAGUCGCACCGGCCGCCCGGCCCUGCCUUUCGUUUUCAGGAGGAAGCUGGCACUUGCAGCGAGUCACUCGCUCCCCUAGUCCCAUUCACUGACCGUCGGGCCCAGGGUUCGGCCAGGCCCACGAGUCAGUCAGGUUGUGCACAGUGCACAAGUGCAGCGGUGUCGUAGAUGUCGACAUCGGCCAGUGCCAUGGCGACCGUGCGACGUCGCCGCCGACGCGAAACGGGAGGCGCUUUGCUUCCCAUGGCAGUAGUAUAAACAGCCGUCGCCAGUCGCAUUCCAUCCGCAGACGAGGGAACAAUCCACACAUCUUCCAGUGCUGUGCUGUGCCGUCGAACCCGCCGCCGGCGCCCGCGACGAUGCGUGACCAGGAGGCGCCCACCCAACUCCCCCGCUCCCCCGCCACCGCCGGGACUCACCAUCCCCCGGCAACGCAGCCGCCGCCAGCCGCCGCGGCCAGCAACGGCGGCGGGAGAUCGCGCCUCCUCCACCUCGCAUUCCUCUGCCUCGCCGCGUCGACGGCGGCGGCCUGGUUCGUGGAGCCCUUCGUGGCAGCCGCGGAGUCCCGCCUGCCCGCGUCCGCCGUCGCCGCCACGGUCCUGCUCCUCGCCGCGUGCUUCCACCUCACGGUCCACGUCGUCCACUCCUUCGCCGCGCCCUGCCCCCCGCGCCCCGCCGCCACCGCCGCGGUCAAGGCCGCCGCGACGAUCGCCGUCACCGUUGGGGUAGGGGUCGCUUCGUGCCUUCACGGUGCCUGUGGAGCUCCGCACGAGUACAGAACAGCUUAUAACUGAACGAGGCUUGGAUUCGGAUGCAUAACAGACCUUCAGUUCUGGUGGUUGCAUUCCUAUUGGGCUAUCUCUCAUCUCAGCUGGACGGGUGAGAUUUAAUUUAAAGAAACAUGCAUUUCAGUUAAUCUAUUGUCAUGUAGCUAGCUUGUCAAACGUUCUUCUGUACAGUUUCACAGUUGGAGCUUAUUAUUGCAAAGCUGAUGUUGACUUGACCUUAAUCCUUUCGCGUCAACCUUCAAUAUGUCAGAUUUGGCAUUCAUCCAAGAAUCUUCAGAGUUUCAGUCAGGUCAGAGCUGCCCAUAGCACACUGGGCCAGCUAAUAAGUUCAGAAACAUGGCAUCUUGGAUGGUUCAACUGGUCAAAAGCUAAAGAAAGUCUGAAGUUACGGGAGGCUUACCAAGUCGAGCAAGAUGUUGGAGGCCUUGAAGUCGCGGUAGAUCACCGGCGGGUCGGCAUCAUGGAGAAAGGCAAGGCCCUUGGCCGCGCCGACAGCGAUCUUCAUCCUUGUCAUCCACGGGAGAGAGCCAUUGGUACCUGAAGAUGGUAGGAUGUUUCAGAUCAGUUUCCUCCUCCACGUUGACCAAGAGUUGUAGUAACUUGCAAGCACCAGGAAGUUGGUAGGAUAAAUAUUUUUUUAAUCCAAAAUAUCCAGUAUCCCUUUUUAGUAAA